GAUGAAGAACGUAGUGAAAUGCGAUAAGUAAUGCGAAUUGCAGAAUUCAGUGAAUCAUCGAAUCUUUGAACGCACAUUGCGCCCGCUAGUAUUCUGGCGGGCAUGCCUGUCUGAGCGUCAUUUCAACCCUCGCCCCCGGCUUUUGCUGGGAGCGGUGUUGGGGAUCGGCCGCCCGUCACUGGGAGGCCGGCCCCGAAAUAGAGUGGCGACCGCGCCGUGUGCUCCUCUGCGUAGUAGUAAAUCACCUCGCAGGCGGACAGCGGUGCGGCCUGCCGUAAAACCCCCAACUCUUUCUGGUUGACCUCAGAUCAGGUAGGAAUACCCGCUGAACUUAAGCAUAUCAAUAAGCGGAGGA
rnacentral:misc_RNA from 1 species